UCAACUCGUUCGGGCCGCGCAGUCUGGGUCGCAGCAGCGGCCACAGUCAGAGCCAUAGCCAGUGGUUACUUCUGCUGUUGUUGUUGUUGUUGUCGUGGUUGUUGUUGCUUUUAUUAUUGUUGUUGUUGUUGUCUUUGUUUUGACCAGUCGAUCGCCGUUGCUGCCAUUGCCUAGUUCGCUCUUGCUCGUUUAUGGCCGCCAGCAGAGCCCGCACAUAAAUUACUCGCUUCUGCCGACCUACCGUUCGCCUAGCCCACUGUCCGUCUGUCCGCCUGUCGUCAGCUGUCCAUCCAUCUAUGUUAGCUAUCUGUCUGUGACUGUGACUGUGGCUAUAUCUGUGGCUGUGGCUGUGGCUGUGGCUGUGACUUACCUGUCGGCACAUACAUACAUAGACAUGUAUAUAUAGACUACAUCAAUGUAUUGGUGCCUUGUGAAGCAGUGCGUCCUUCUGUUUUGCCGUCGCUACUUUGACUCCGAGACUCGAGAAGCAUAAAAAGUCAUGGCAAGUGUCAUUUGAUUCGAUGCUACAGAAAUCCAAUAGAUCACAGCUGGUGGCCAUUAAACCUCCAACCACUGCAGGUAAUUGCAUUGCAGGCGACAAUUGGAAACCGCGACGAUGGAAAUUGUAAACCAAUUAAAACAGCUGCUGCGGCUGCUCCUGCUGCUGCUUCUGCUGCUUCUGCUGCUUCUGCUGCUGCGUAUGCGUAAUGAAAAGCAAAUAUUAAUAAAUCAUACGUGACCAAUCAAUUUCAUACUGCGGGGAAUGUCCGCCCAAUGCAAUAAAGAUACAAACUCACAGAUGCACAUGCAGUUGCAUAUGUAUGUGCGUCUGUGUGUAUGUGUGUGUUUACAGAAGUUGGCCAACUGACGGGGAAGAUUUGAUGAGCGCCAGCAACUGUCGCCCGAGCGCACGUCACAGAAUCAAUAUUUAAUUUAUAAUUAACUUUACAACAUGGAAAACAACGCAACAACUCAGAGUCGAGAGAGAGAGCCAGAGCUCCAGAUCCAUGUUUCCAGGCGCCGUCGUUUAUCUUUUUAGCACACAAAACCAACUCUGAGGCCUAGGUGAAAAGCCCGAAAGAGACAGCGGCAGCGGGAGGGUGGCUGCUCUUGACAUGAGGCUGGGGCGGGAUUUGUGGCGGCUUUAAACGUUUGCCACUAUGGGCAAUUAACGCGCCCAUACGCAAACACGCUCCUGAUCCUUUAGACAAACAGACGAGACGGUGGCCAGGCACAACAGAAACAGAAAAAAAAACGAAGCAUUACGCAGUGCUACAAAGACUGAACAAAAAGCAAUCGAGGGUAAGUUGGCCCAGCAAGAACAGAAAUAGAGAAAGAGAGAGAGAGAGAGAGAGAGAGAUAGAGAUAAAGAUGGGAGAGUGUAAACUUUUCGGGGGUGCUAAUUGAAAAACUCAAUAUUUAUCUAUGCGAACAACUUACAGUUAGAGCGUCAAUUGAGUCCGCUCUCAGGGUGGUUCAACGAGCGGCCAUUUUGAACAGGUCGGAGGAAACUCCAGCGUACUCUCAGCUACAUCAUAAUGAUGAGAAACAUGAUUAAGUUCAGCUACCAAGAUCGUUGACAAACUUGUGCAGCAGAAGUGGAACUAACUUUUACCUCCAUUGAGGAAAUGUUGUGACCUCUUGUAAUUGGAAGUGGAGCACAGAAAUCAGUUAAAUAAACAGGAAGAGCUCUGCUUGUAAUUUAACCGGGGCUGCACGCUGACGUCGACAGGUAGAGCCAAGUAUCAAGGGCACUUUCAAAAGAUGGGAGAGUGUCGUUGAGAAAAUAUGUUAAUUUCAGUUUCUUAAUGAUAAAUGGAGACGAUCAGAAAGUAAAAUAUACAUAUGUAAAGGAGAAUAUGGGCAUAUAUAU